rfam:Triticum aestivum genome assembly, contig: Triticum_aestivum_CS42_TGACv1_scaffold_642020_T_3DS-0.067284_1BL-0.066138
GAAUUACUCCCUCCGUCCGGAAAUACUUGUCGCAUAAAUGGAUAAAAAUGGAUGUAUCUAAAACUAAAAUACAUCUAGAUACAUCAAUUACACUAACAAGUAUUUCCGGACGGAGGGAGUACUAU